GCAAUACAAAUUGAACUGAAUUCCCCAUUCGGGACACAAUCAGACUGUUGGAACCGAUCCUACAAGGGUUUUUACCCUCAAAUAUAUAUUUCACCUUAUAAAGUCUUUGGCUCUAAUCCAACCUGUCUACCUUUAGUGACUCUUGGAUCAUAUGUAGUAAAAGAAUUUCACCAUCUCACAUCUCCGAUUUCCGUUUUGAGUCUAGGCAAUAAAUAUGUACAACACUGUCAUUCGCAAAACAAUCAUGGUUAAAAACAUAAAUAAAAAGAGUCGCCAUCAGAGUGCAGUAGAGAAAGAACCAAAGCAUUCAAACUAAAUCUCUAAAUUAUCUGUUGUCAACAAAGUUGACAAGUAACAAGAAGGUUAUUAGCUAAAUCACUUCGAAAUGAUUGACAACCAUAGAACGUAGCUCUUCAUACUCGAGGGGGCUCUGGUCCACAAGCAGACGUGCAGUACGUCAACAUUUAUCUCACGACCAGUUGACAAGGAUUGGAACGGAUCACACCACAAAAUCAAUUUUCCUGCAAUCAAAACCACUUAGUAGAUUAAAUUAUUGAAAAGAGACCGAAGCAAUUGCCAACUCAAUACCAUAAGUUUCAUCUUUCAUUAGUAUAGCAGAAACCCCCUCCCCACAAGUACUCUCAGCUAAACUGGUGGAAUUGUAAAUUUGCAAAGGAACAACAAAAAUUUCAAAUGACAAGCAUAGAUGCAUAAUCUACAAAACUCAGCUUUAGACCCCCUGGGACAAGUAUUGUCGACUACAGGUCGCGGCUGGUGUUGGGCAGCUCACCAAAGUGAGAAAAGAACACUCCAAAAAGUUGAAGAAGAGUGCUAUAGUGGGCGAUGAGCAGGCCAUAAAAAUAAAAGACAGUAAUGUACCUUGUGAGCAAAAAUUUACCCAACUAGUUACUGCUGCUGUUUUGCUUAUAUGCUUCCAUUCUGCUGCGUCUGGACGUAAGCUU
rnacentral:lncRNA from 1 species